rnacentral:lncRNA from 1 species
GCAAGUGUUGCUUAUGUGCUCUAGGGUUUGGUUUUUCCAUGUAUUGGAGCCAAAAAUCAAAUCUUAGAUUGUAAGAUAUCUAAAGAGUGUCUUCUUAGUAUCAUUCUGAUGGUAAGUUUGAAAGUAACUGAGCUUUGGUGUGAUUGUACCAUGAGUUUGAAGCCGGUAGUGUUCUUAAGAAGACAAGGCUACAGCAGCGCACC